AUUGAACGCUGGCGGCAGGCUUAACACAUGCAAGUCGAGCGAGCGGCGGACGGGUGAGUAAUGUCUGGGAAACUGCCUGAUGGAGGGGGAUAACUACUGGAAACGGUAGCUAAUACCGCAUACCAUCAGAUGUGCCCAGAUGGGAUUAGCUUGUAGGUGGGGUAAUGGCUCACCACGGCGACGAUCCCUAGCUGGGCUGAGAGGAUGACAAGCCACACUGGAACUGAGAAACGGUCCAGACUCCUACGGGAGGCAGCAGUGGGGAAUAUUGCACAAUGGGCGCAAGCCUGAUGCAGCCAUGCCGCGUGUGUGAAGAAGGCCUUCGGGUUGUAAAGCACUUGCAGCGAGGAGGCGUUACUCGCAGAAGAAGCACCGGCUAACUCCGUGCCAGCAGCCGCGGUAAUUC
rnacentral:rRNA from 1 species